GUGGAGAAUUUGUGAAUUAAGAGCAGGCAGGCAAACUGUUUAUCGUUGCUGUUGUUCUUAAAUCUAUGGAUUCCAAAGGGAGUGGAUUAUAUUUAUACAGAUGUAUAGAAAGAGGCUUUUGCUUGAAACAGCUCCUAAUGCAGGUGAAAACCAUGUAUUGAUUACUUAAAGAAAGUUAAAAUAAAAGCAAUUUUUUCCCCGUUUCCACACAUUGCAGCUUUUGGCCUAUCCACUCACAGCUAAAAAAGCAUUCUUUCCUGAUAAUCAAGCUUCAGCUGUCUGAAUUUCAGGCCGAGCCUCUCAUCUUGAGCUUUGCUGAAGAGCUUCUUUAAUUAACCAUUAUACCACAGAUGUUAUUGAUUUUUUUUUUUUUCAAAUCUGGUUGAAACAUCAUUGUGCUGGAUCGUCGCCAAGAUGAAGGCCUGAAUUUUUUGUGCACUGCUUUUACUCCUUCUGCAUACCUUAUUAGUCUCCAUGUCUGUUAAGUGCAACCUGUAGUAUUGACUCAGAAAAUAUAGCAUUGAUUUUUACCCUUCCAGCCGUGAUCUAAGGGCUCCUAAUUUGGAACGUGGAAACCAGAGUUCUGCAAGAAGCUGUAUUACUGUACACUUCCUACAACUGCUGUUGCUACUGUGCAUCGUCCUGCAUGCUCUGUGCCUGCGUAAAGAGGCUACCGCUGUAAGACAAAAUCAUGUUAAUGGCUGGUACUGAUAAUGGGCAUGGAUCUCAUGCUUGGGAACAGCAUUUGUCGUCUUCAGCUUGAAGACCUGGAACAGGAGGCUGAGUCUUCAAGCACACCUUAGUGUAGGUCCUCAGCCUUCUCCACCUCUCUGGACUCUGCUGGCAUCUCCAGCAUGCAGGGGAAAGGCA